rfam:Oryza sativa Japonica Group DNA, chromosome 7, cultivar: Nipponbare, complete sequence.
AAUAAGUGCAGUUUUAUAUCGAUAAUGUCCAACAUUUGACCGUUUGUCUUAUUUAAAAUUUUUUUAUGAUUAAUAUUUUUAUUGUUACUAGAUAAUAAAAUAUGAACAAUACUUUGUGUGACUAAUUAUUUUAAAUUUUUUCAUAAAUUUUUCAAAUAAUACAGAUAGUCAAACGUUGGAUACGGAUACCAACGGCUGUACUUAUU